GGGUUUAUCAUUUUACAGUCCUGUAUAUAUACCACCAUGCGUCUCAAUCUAUCGUAUCCUUCGCAUGCUUGUAUGCAGUUAUUUGUUGUAUAGAUAUUUAUGUCUGAGAUUACAAGUUUCCGGCGAGCACAACGGUGCUCUGUAUUUCAAACCAUCCGCGGUCUGCAAUUCAGAAUAUAAACUGAUGUGUUUGUCGGUCGGGUUUUGUAGCUAUCUUGCAACCGUGUCUCUGAUUUCGAGCGUUCGAUGCCACGUCGCCGGUAGCCAAAGUUGCAUUGACCGGCGAUGCUAUGAUCGGACCUAUAACAAGCUUCCGCGUUUCGCAUCAUUAUAGGAACCUGUGAACUGAUAAGUUUUCGUUCAUUCACAGAGCCGGUUUUUGCGAUUACAUUCUUCAUGUUUUUAUCAAAAUCUUAAAAAUUCUGUUUGUUUAUUUGAUUGGAAUGAAGCUGAAGCCAGUGAGGAUUUAACUCUAUAAGUUGGAAUUACCGACUGAAUUCAUUGAUGAGAAAUUGCAAAUCUGAGGCUUUUUUUUGGUAUUAUGAACUUAAGAAUUACUAGCAUUUUUUAUUUCAAAAUGAAAAGGAACUAAAAUGUUUUUGGAUUUCUGUAGUAGUUAAACAUGAAUAGCAGAAAGUGUAGCCAAUGAGGAAUGAUCAUUAUAAGUUGGAAUUACCGACUGAGUUUACAUUGAUGACAAAUAAUCAUCGACCAUCUGAGGCUCCUCUAU